GCUGGAAUCUGGACCACGUUGGUACAUUGCAAUUAUUCAAUUUAGAAUGCUCCUACUUUUAAUGUGCUUUUUAGUUCUUUGUUUUAAGAAACAAACACAAUCUAACUUAAGUCAUAAUCAGAAUGGACUUCUACCCCUGAUCUACCAGUGUAUUUAAUGUAAGUAAAAACAAAAAGACUGUGUGUGUAUAUUAAAUGAACUUACCUUCUUAA